GACGAACGCUGGCGGCGUGCUUAACACAUGCAAGUCGAACGGAAAGGCCCUGCUUUUGUGGGGUGCUCGAGUGGCGAACGGGUGAGUAACACGUGAGUAACCUGCCCUUGACUUUGGGAUAACUUCAGGAAACUGGGGCUAAUACCGGAUAGGAGCUCCUGCUGCAUGGUGGGGGUUGGAAAGUUUCGGCGGUUGGGGAUGGACUCGCGGCUUAUCAGCUUGUUGGUGGGGUAGUGGCUUACCAAGGCUUUGACGGGUAGCCGGCCUGAGAGGGUGACCGGCCACAUUGGGACUGAGAUACGGCCCAGACUCCUACGGGAGGCAGCAGUGGGGAAUAUUGCACAAUGGGCGGAAGCCUGAUGCAGCAACGCCGCGUGCGGGAGGACGGCCUUCGGGUUGUAAACCGCUUUCGCCUGUGACGAAGCGUGAGUGACGGUAAUGGGGAAAGAGGCACCGGCUAACUACGU
rnacentral:rRNA from 1 species